CGGCAGGCCUAANCANGCAANUCNAGCGGAUGAAAGGAGCUUGCUCCUGGAUUCNGCGGCGGACGGGUGAGUAAUGCCUAGGAAUCUGCCUGGUAGUGGGGGACAACGUUUCGAAAGGAACGCUAAUACCGCAUACGUCCUACGGGAGAAAGCAGGGGACCUNCGGGCCUUGCGCUAUCAGAUGAGCCUAGGUCGGAUUAGCUAGUUGGUGAGGUAAUGGCUCACCAAGGCGACGAUCCGUAACUGGUCUGAGAGGAUGAUCAGUCACACUGGAACUGAGACACGGUCCAGACUCCUACGGGAGGCAGCAGUGGGGAAUAUUGGACAAUGGGCGAAAGCCUGAUCCAGCCAUGCCGCGUGUGUGAAGAAGGUCUUCGGAUUGUAAAGCACUUUAAGUUGGGAGGAAGGGUUGUAGAUUAAUACUCUGCAAUUUUGACGUUACCGACAGAAUAAGCACCGGCUAACUCUGUGCCAGCAGCCGCGGUAAUACAGAGGGUGCAAGCGUUAAUCGGAAUUACUGGGCGUAAAGCGCGCGUAGGUGGUUUGUUAAGUUGGAUGUGAAAUCCCCGGGCUCAACCUGGGAACUGCAUCCAAAACUGGCAAGCUAGAGUAUGGUAGAGGGUGGUGGAAUUUCCUGUGUAGCGGUGAAAUGCGUAGAUAUAGGAAGGAACACCAGUGG
rnacentral:rRNA from 1 species